rnacentral:miRNA from 1 species
UGGUGCAAAAGUAAUUGCGGUUUUUGCCAUGACUUUUAAUGGCAAAAACUGCAAUUAGUUUUGCACCAAC